AUUCUUACCUGGCAGGGAAGAUAACAUGAUCACGAAGGUGGUUUUCCCAGGGUGAGGUUUAUCCAUUGCACUCUGGAUGUGCUGACCCGUGAUUUCCCCGAAAGUGCAUAAUUUGUGGUAGUGGGGGACUGCAUUCUUCAUGCUUUCCCCUA
rnacentral:snRNA from 1 species